ensembl:lncRNA
CAAGUGUGUACUGAAACUAAAAAAUAGAAAUCAUCCCAGUGCCUUGACAGCUGCCUUUUACUGGAGAGCCUUUUACCUUGCUUCCUGCCAGAGUUUUGCUGUGUCACUUCAAGUUUCCUGCAGACGGCUGAGCAGGGUUGCUCCGUGUGGUCAGUGUCGCAGGGUGAGAAGAAGGGCUCCAGAGAGGUGGAAAACCCAGGGGGAAAAUGAGAAGCAGGAAACCAGUAGGAUUGGAUUGACAGGUGAACAAAAACUCAGUGACUCUCCUCCUGUUGCCCCUGCAUCCUGCACCAGUCAUAGAACCACAGAGCCAUAGAACCAUAGAAUCACAGAACCACUAAGAUUGGAAACGACCUCCAUGAUCAUCCAGUCCAACCUCCUACCUAUCACCAAUAUUUUCC